rnacentral:rRNA from 1 species
GUGGAUUAGAUACCCUGGUAGUCCACGCUGUAAACGAUGAAUACUAGGCAUGCGCGAGUAUCGACCCUCGUGCGAGCCGUAGCUAACGCGUUAAGUAUUCCGCCUGGGGAGUACGGUCGCAAGACUAAAACUCAAAGGAAUUGACGGGGACCCGCACAAGCGGUGGAGCAUGUGGUUUAAUUCGACGGUAAGCGAGGAACCUUACCAGGGUUUGACAUUCUUCUGCAAGCGCACGGAAACGUGUGACCUUCGAGGGUGAAGAACAGUUAUUGCACGGUUGUCGUCAGCU